rnacentral:rRNA from 1 species
UACGGAGGGUGCGAGCGUUGUCCGGAAUCACUGGGCGUAAAGGGCGCGUAGGCGGCCUGAUAAGUAGGGGGUGAAAUCCUGAGGCUUAACCUCAGGGCUGCCUUCUAAACUGUCGGGCUCGAGCACAGUAGAGGCAGGUGGAAUUCCCGGUGUAGCGGUGGAAUGCGUAGAGAUCGGGAAGAACAUCAGUGGCGAAGGCGGCCUGCUGGGCUGUUGCUGACGCUGAGGCGCGACAGCGUGGGGAGCAAACAGG